AUCCACUUUCAGUUUUUUUUCUCUCCGUAAAAUCCAUAGUUAUCAAAGAUUCUUACAUAUAUUCUAGUACAAUCCAGACAAUAAUCCAGAUUAAUCAAAGAAUCUCAGCUUCAUAUCACUCAAAUCCCUCGGAUUUCACCGUAGAUUCCAGAAGAUAAUCUAGAAUUAUCGUAGAAUCUCAUCCUCCCAUCCCUCAAAUCCGUCGGAUUUCACGGUACAUUCCAGAGUCAUCGUCUGAACACUACACCGAUCAUCUUCCUCGUUCCACCGUUCUGGUUGCAUAUCGUUCGAUUUCAAUGGAGUUAGGAACCCGAUAAGAUUCUCGCUAAGAGAGUUUGCCAUCGUAACAGGGCUGCCGUGUGGUAAAUACCGGAUCCCUCCGCCGAAAGAUAUGAAGAAACCCGCCGGUGAAGAUGACGAUUUCUCACACACACCACCGAGAAACGGUAUCAAGCCAGCACAUGCAAGGACGUUGGACACCGCAUAAAAUGUACGUGUGACUCAAAUCAUCCCGAAUGAAACAUAUUUCGAGAUCGACGAAGCAGAGCUGUGUUUCUCUGACGACGAAGAUGGCGAAAGAGUAGAUAAAAUGCUCAGUCUAAUCAAAGAGGGCAGCAGUUUCAGGAACGAAAUGUUCGAAGGGGAGCACCAAAGGAAGACGUAGCGCCCAUGCGUGACGUCUCAGAAGAGGCUGUAGCUCUAGCAAGAAAUAUGUAUACAUCAUAAAUUAGCCUUUACAGAUCUAGGUUAUCUGUACAUUUAUGAAAGUUUAAAACAUAACAUAUCUAGAGCAUAUAAAAUACUCAUCAUACUGUUUCAGGAUUUAGCCGCACAUUAAUAUAAUUAGCCAUAUAUUUUA